rnacentral:lncRNA from 10 species
GGGUGCGAGAUUGAAAAAGCCCGCGGCGUCUUCUACACGCCACUUCGCUGGGCUCCUGUCUCUGUCGCUGAGAGGCACUCUGGAGAGUCUGCGGCAGCCUCUGUCACACAGGGACCUGCACUGGUCGUGGGAGCCGCAGAGAGGCCCCCGGGACACGGAGGAAUUCGGAAAAUGCAAUCACAAGUGUGUGCUAGGAAUCCCAGACUCACUGUCCAGUGGCGCCAUCUCCUGGCCUUGGAGCAGGAGGGGGGCUCUGUCCUCCAGGAAUCAGGAAUUUGGCAUGAGGCUGCUGGCGACAUAGUCAAGCCUUUCUCCCAUCUGAUGUCUCAAUCUGCUUAUUUUCAAGAAAAUAAAAACACAUCGAUAACAGGAUAAAACUGUUAAAUUCACGGAAAAGCUGGACUUAUAUGACAGCAAUAUUCUAUAAAGGAAUCAAUAGAGAGAAAAAGCAAAAACAUGAGCUAGCUCAGAGAAGCAGUCUUUCAGACGCAGUUCAGCAGGAAAACCCCAAUUUAGAGGUUAAACAUAUUCCCAACCAUGGGUGCCAGACUGUUGAAAUGGGUCCCCAGAGGCCGGGUGCGGUGGCUCACACCUGUAAUCCCAGCAUUUUGGGAGGCCAAUGCGGAUGGAUCACCUGAGGUCAGGAGUUCGAGACAAACCUUGCCAAUACGGUGAAACCCCGUCUCUACUAAAAAUACAAAAAUUAGCCAGGCAUGAUGGUGGGCGCCUGUAAUCCCAGCUACUCAGGAGGCUGAGGCAGGAGAAUCGCUUGAACCCGGGGUGGGGCGGCGGGGGGAGCGGACAGAGGUUGCAGUGAGCCAAGAUUGUGCCACUUCACUCCAGCCUGGGCGAAAGAGCAAAACUCUGUCUCAAAAAAGAAAAAAGAUAAGAAAAAGAAAUGGGUCCCCAGAGUGUCCCUGCCUCAUUACCAAGUCAUGGUGAUGAGGCAAGAUACAUAAGGAUUCAGCUCUGGGAGUUCAACUUGCCCUCUUGUCCCCUCUGCAGAGUGUGGCUAUGCUCCCUCCUUUAAGUGUUAAUAAAAGUUUCCAAUCAAAAGCCAAGAAACUAGACACUGAUUUUGAAAACAUAAGGAAUUCCUCGUAUUUUAUGAAAAACAAAGCUAUUAGUCAUACAGAACACGAAUAGUACAAUGGCAGACAUAAUGCCUUCGUUAUCGGUAAUUAAAUGGAAUAAACUUGCCAAACAAAAGACAGAGGCAGGGAGAAUGAAUCUUUAAAAUAUGAUCAAAUUGUAUCCUGUCUACAGCACAUUCAUUGUAGAUCUCAAUACCCAAGUCAGUUGAAAGAGAAUGAAAGAAAAAGAUAUUCCAUGCAAAUAGUAAUGUAAAGAGAGCAGGGGUGGCUAUACAAUUGUCACACAAAAUAGACUAAGUCAAAAACUGUUAAAAGACACAAAGAAGAGCACUAUAAAAGGCUCAAAUCAUACAGAAUAUAUAACAGUUAUAAAUAUAAUUGCACUAAAUAACAGAGGCCCAAAAUAUAUGAAGCAAACAUUUUAAAAAUUUAAAAGGAAGGUCAGGUGUGGUGGCUCACCCCUGUAAUCCCAGC